GAUGAACGCUAGCGGCAGGCUUAACACAUGCAAGUCGAGGGGUAUAUUUCUUCGGAGAUAGAGACCGGCGCACGGGUGCGUAACGCGUAUGCAAUCUACCUUUUACAGAGGGAUAGCCCAGAGAAAUUUGGAUUAAUACCUCAUAGUAUGCAGAGUUGGCAUCAACACUGCAUUAAAGUCACAACGGUAAAAGAUGAGCAUGCGUCCCAUUAGCUAGUUGGUAAGGUAACGGCUUACCAAGGCUACGAUGGGUAGGGGUCCUGAGAGGGAGAUCCCCCACACUGGUACUGAGACACGGACCAGACUCCUACGGGAGGCAGCAGUGAGGAAUAUUGGACAAUGGGCGCAAGCCUGAUCCAGCCAUGCCGCGUGCAGGAUGACGGUCCUAUGGAUUGUAAACUGCUUUUGCACAGGAAGAAACAACGCUACGUGUAGCGUCUUGACGGUACUGUGAGAAUAAGGAUCGGCUAACUCCGUGC
rnacentral:rRNA from 1 species